CUCAAUGAAAUUUAAAUAGCCGCAAUACAUUUGCGCUAAGGUAGCAUAAUAAUUUGUCUUUUAAUUAAAGGCCAGAACAAAAGAUUUAACAAUUUUAUUUCUUUCUUAAUUAUAAAUAUUAAAUUUACCCUAAAAUUAAAAAGACCUUUAUUCAAUAAAAAGACGACAAGACCCUAUUGAACUUAACUAAAGUUUAACUGGGGCAGUUAAUUAAAUAUUAUUUUAAUUUAAAAUCAUAAACACCUAAUAAAAUUAAAUUAAUCAAGUUACCAUAGGGAUAACAGCGUAAUAAUUUUCCAUAGCUCUUAUUUAAAAAAUAAUUUGCGACCUCGAUGUUGAAUUAAUAAUCUAUUAAAUGCAAUAAUUUAAUAAGAAAGUCUGUUCGACUU
rnacentral:rRNA from 1 species